rnacentral:tRNA from 7 species
GCCUGGGUAGCUCAGCUGGUUAGAGCACGGCACUCAUAAUGCCGGGGUCGCCGGUUCAAGUCCGGCCCCAGGUACCA